rnacentral:lncRNA from 1 species
UUGUUAGCCAUUAAGAGUAAAAACUCUUGACCGGACCCAAAAUAAUUGGCAGAAAUAAAGACUGAGGGAAGAGGACACCAUGCAGAACAUGCCAGCUGUAGCAAAACAAGACAACACACUCAGAGGAAUAGAACCAUCCCCAUAAUCGGAGCCAGAGAUGGGGAAAAAGGUAGAACUGGGAAAUUGCUCCUUCUCCCUUGCGAGGUAGGAAAACCUGUUCUCGGCACCGGUCCCUUCCCCCCAUCCUGUUCUCCUGUUAGUUUCUUCUUUUGGCUUCUGUUCUACGUCUCUUGUCAUUCAUGGUCCUCGUCUUAAACCUUGGUCACGUAGGGCCAGGAACUAUGGACUCACCCCCUGUUAAUCUGGGAAGAUACCUAUUUGGACCUUCUUAAAUUUCCUUUUCUCCUCUCAAAAUUUACCCAUCCUGAGUUUGAUUUAUACAAGGUCGUUCUUUUUGCCAGGAGAUAGUUUGAUGCUCUUGUCAACUAAUCUGUGGCAAUGGAUUAAAGACAAUGUACUAGUUCUCUAUCUCCUGAAAACACCUGCAAAUUUAAAAAAGAGUAUUUUUAUAAGACUCUCUCAAUAGUGAGGUUGUGUGGUACAGUAGAAUGAGUGAAAUCCUGGAUUUGAAAUUAGAGUGACAUUGGAUCAAAUCCAUCUCUCCUUCUUAUUCCCUAAGAGACCAUCCAUAGUUACUUUACCUCUCUGAACCUGCUAACCUGCCUUUACACAACUAUAAAAAGGGGAUGCUAACACUUACCUUCCAUAUUUUUGGGGAUAAUAAUAAAAACUUAUAAAGAGUACCA